AUGGCAGCCAUCCUGCCAAGAACCGCGCUGCUGCUGCGGACGCCGCGCGGCGCCGGCCGGCUCGCGCGGUUCCUUGGAGCCGGCGUGCCCACCGCUUCAUCCGGUAAUGCUGGGACGGCGGCCUCGGCGGCGGAGGAGUUCGUGCCGUGGCGCAACGGCGGCGGCGUUCUGCACCGGGCGGCGUCCGUUGACCCCACCGCGGUGGUGGAGGCCGGCGCCGUCGUGCACUCCGGCGCUGUGAUUGGCAAGGAGGUGGUCGUCGGGUCCGGGACCGUGGUCGGGCCUUCGGUGUCCGUGCGGCAGUCCACCAGGAUCGGGUACAAUGUUGUCUUGAGCAACUGCUCGGUGGGCGAGUUCUGCACUAUCCACAAUGGCGCCUGCAUCGGUCAAGAUGGUUUUGGUUUCUUUGUGGACCAGGAUGGACAGGUCAAGAAAAAACCACAGGAGCUUUAUGCAAGAAUUGGAGACAAUGUGGAAAUUGGUGCAAAUACAUGCAUUGACAGAGGCAGUUGGAGAGACACAAUGAUUGGAGAUGACACCAAGAUUGAUAAUCUGGUUCAGAUAGGUCACAAUGUGGUGAUAGGAAAGUGCUGCAUGAUUUGUGGACAAGUAGGGAUCGCAGGUUCUGCAACGUUGGGUGACUACGUAGUAUUAGGUGGUAGGGUGGCCAUCCGGGAUCAUGUCUCCAUUGCUUCAAAGGUUAGACUUGCUGCAAAUAGUUUAGCGACAAAGGACAUUCAGGAGCCCGGUGACUAA
rnacentral:rRNA from 1 species